CCUACGGGAGGCAGCAGUGAGGAAUAUUGGUCAAUGGGCGCGAGCCUGAACCAGCCAAGUAGCGUGAAGGAUGACUGCCCUACGGGUUGUAAACUUCUUUUAUAAAGGAAUAAAGUGAGGCACGUGUGCCUUUUUGUAUGUACUUUAUGAAUAAGGAUCGGCUAACUCCGUGCCAGCAUCCGCGGUAAUACGGAGGAUCCGAGCGUUAUCCGGAUUUAUUGGGUUUAAAGGGAGCGUAGAUGGGUUGUUAAGUCAGUUGUGAAAGUUUGCGGCUCAACCGUAAAAUUGCAAUUGAUACUGGCAGCCUUGAGUACAGUUGAGGUAGGCGGAAUUCGUGGUGUAGCGGUGAAAUGCGUAGAUAUCGGGAGGAACACCAGUGGCGAAGGCGGUUUACUGGACCACAACUGACGCUGAGACACGAAAGCGUGGGGAGCAAACAGGAUUAGAUACCCCAGUAGUC
rnacentral:rRNA from 1 species